UCCAUACCGAUUAGCGGACUGUCUUGAGAGAGCGGGAGAACGAUGCACCAUUCUGUGACUGAAGAGGGCAACAGCCUGAACUACACAACUGUGUUGCCAACCGUGUUUGGGUGUCCUCUCUGCCCCACAUUGACCACCAAAAGUAAAAGUGGCAUCCAGAGGCACCUGCAGAAUCAUGUGGCAAAUGCAGUGCAUUUCAAGGAUAAGAUCAUCUGCAGAUGCAAUCUGCACUGCAGAGAUGGAGGCCAUUUCCAUUGUCAA